rnacentral:lncRNA from 1 species
GUGCCCAUGGCUCAGGCUCCAGGAAGUGACCCUGGGCUGCAGAACCUGGAAACCAUAGCCUGGGAACUAUGGCGACAGGCACAAUACCACACAAUGCCCUCCCUCUCCGUCUUCCUGUGGAGUGGGACUUUAUGCGCCUGACCCAGGUCGGAGUGAGCAAGUUGGACCGUUCUUGCCUGAGUGGGCAGGAAUAGGUCCUUUCACACAAGUGCCAUGUAAAAUUGUAGACUCUGUGUUUGUCUGGAGAUAGCCACUUCUUUCUACCUCAGAGUGACUGUGCGUGCGCAUGUGUGCACAUCCGUGUGCAUGCUCCUGUGCACUUGUGUUUACGCCCAAGCAUUUUCUGAACAAAUGAGACUCCUCCAUUGAAGAGAGGCGCUUUACUUCCUGCUUUGUGCUGGUCUGAAGACCUUCGGUAUGUUUGGUUCUUGUCCUAGGUCGGCCUGUUCGUGCACAGUUUCCCCUCUAUGCAGACAUACAUGGUCCUCCUAACAGGAGGGGUCAACAGAAUUACAGAGCAAUGCCAAAAAGGUUGCUUCUGCCCAAAAUUCAGAGAGAAUGUUAGAAGCAUGGCUGUGGAAGAUGGCAGCCUUCCCCGUCACACCUCUCGCAAGCACAAGGUUUUCAAGUGCAGACAUCUGAAAGCUCUGGCAGUGGUAUAAAGUCAGAUCUGGGAAGGUGAGGCCAGGCCCCUUCACAUUCAUUCAGAAGGAAGGAAAAGGCAGACCUCUCUGAGCACAAAGCUGGCUCUUGCCAGUAUCCCUGCUGCAGGAUUGAUGUGUAAGGACACAUGGCUUUUUCUUUCAGAGGCUGGGGAGAGAAAUGGUAGCCAGGAUCAUUGGGACUGAGUGAAUGCUAGUCUCUACCUGUUUGCAUUCCAUUCCCGUUUGUACCUCUUGAAUUAGUUAAGAAACCAUUUCUCCAUCUCUCGUGCUCCCUGUCUGGUCUCCUCAGGGACACAGGGUGGAUACCUAAGGUGAGCUGGUGCUGAGAGAGAGGGUCUGCAUUUUAGUGACUGAUUUGCAAAUGAGAGCCCUAAAGAAAGGCCUGUGGCCCCAAGUCUCCCACCAGCCAGAGCUCAGCCUAUUGUCUCCCCUUUGCUGCCAAGGCAACAGGAACUGGAAACUGAAGUCAGUGUCUCUGGUGCUUAGAAACCCUCUUCGUUUCUUCUGAACCAAGAUUUUCUUAAUUAACAGCUGUUAAUGGACAUCUGUCAGAUUCCAGGCUUUGGUCCUAAUAGAGAAGAAAGGCUGAAGCAGAAACCUAGCUCACUUAAGGCUGAGGUCUGACAGUGCCUUUCCUUCCUGACGCAUAGAACACACCACAGCUCACAGGAACCCCCAUUGCCUGAGGUCUGCUUACACUCAAGGCUGUGUAUGUUUGCACUGAACAUAAGCACUUUACACAACUGGGUUGGAAGUCUUGCAGCCCUCGAUUUAGGAUGUCAUUACCAGAUUUCCCUGACUAUCUUCUAACUUGAAUUGUAAAAUAGGUGGACCAUUGACCAGGUUAACAGAGAAAAGACUGCAGACCUAAGACAUUAUACUGUGGUCUCCUGAAAAGCAACAAUAAUAUCAAAGCAGUUGUACAUGUUGAGGGGUUGUUUGUCCUCCUACAACCAAGCCACAAUAAACUGCCUAUCCC